AAACCCUGUAGGAUUUAUCAUGGUUGCACGUACUUACCCUCACCAUGGUGUUUCAGAUGCUUUCGUUGCAAAAGCUCGAGCAUGUGAGCAAGCUGUCACUUUUGCGGCUGAGUUGGGGUUUCGAUCGAUUCAACUGGAGGGCAAUUCAGUCACUAUUAUUAAGAAGGUGGCUUCAUCCAAACUUGAUAACCAACACCGAUGCGCACACUCUGGCGGGAGAAGGUCGUCGAUUUUCGGUUCCGCGGUACUGGAUUGAGGAGGCGCUAGAGAUGGUGGAAUGGACGGCUGAAAGAGAUCGGCAACGAUAACUCUAUCAAACUUAAUCUGCUCCUCUCGGAUUUGGUUUUUGGAAAUUAUCUAAUCUAUUACUCCAAAAUCCAAAUAGUUUCCAAAGUGUUUCUCUGUCUAUUGAUAGCAAGGAUCUGUUCAUGCAAUAGUCUUUUGGCUUAAACAUGAGAGGAUUUCAUCUGGUCUUCUUCGGGAUAUAUGGGAAGAAAUGAUAGGGUUUUUGGGGUUUUCUGUUUUGUUGUUGUUGUUGUUUUUUUUUCUUUAAUUUCUGUUUUGUUUGAAUUUGGAAGGUUUGUGGUGGUUUUGGGACGGUACAUUAUCCCAUUAAUUGCUAUCCUUGUCUUUAUUUAAUGAAUACCCGAUCAUGUUAAAAAUAAGAAGAAAAAGCUUUUAAAUGUUGCAUAUUAGAUUUGAAAUUAUGUU